rnacentral:rRNA from 1 species
CUGACGGUACUUGAGGAAUCAGCCUCGGCUAACUCCGUGCCAGCAGCCGCGGUAAUACGGGGGAGGCAAGCGUUAUCCGGAAUUAUUGGGCGUAAAGCGUCCGCAGGUGGUCAGCCAAGUCUGCCGUCAAAUCAGGUUGCUUAACGACCUAAAGGCGGUGGAAACUGGCAGACUAGAGAGCAGUAGGGGUAGCAGGAAUUCCCAGUGUAGCGGUGAAAUGCGUAGAGAUUGGGAAGAACAUCGGUGGCGAAAGCGUGCUACUGGGCUGUAUCUGACACUCAGGGACGAAAGCUAGGGGAGCGAAAGGGAUUAGAUACC